rnacentral:miRNA from 8 species
AGGUCGUGACGUGUACAAUGUU